UUCACCCUCUCUGGAAGUGCAACUUCUCAUGCACAGAGCAGUAAUAAAUGCUAAACCCCAUCUCCAGCCUAUCACCCGGCACUUGACAAAAAGACCCUUUUGCUCUCCAACCAUAGCAGUCAGCUCUGCAUUGACUUGCAGCAGUCUUGCUCCAGUCCCCACCUGUCCCGACACCGGCCACCAACCUCUCCUGACAUCUCCAAAGAAACCCUGUAGUCUCAGCUCCAGGCUGCAGUUUAGACAUUAACCAUCCAGCAAAUGAUUAUUGAACAUGUACUGUACUCCAGACUGUUCUAGGAGCUGCAGACGCAGUGAACAAAAUAAGACACAAAUCUCUGCUCAGAGUGCUGCUCAUCGUCUAGCAGCGGAGACAGAUAAAAGGCGUACUUCAUUUGCGAGCUAUACAGUCCAAAGUGGUCACGACCAGCCAUGGGUAGACAUCAAGAUUUCAAAACGCAGCCACCACCAUUUGGGAGCAUUGUAUGCAAAAAAUUCACACCAAAUUUGAAAAUGAAGUGCCAAGAAAAGGUCUCUGAUAUGCUGCCCCGCCUCGGAGCCAGCCAACUAUGGACUGAAACUUGUAAAAACUGCGAGUCAAAAUAAACGUUUCCUCCUUUAAGUUGGUGUCAGGUAGAAGUAACUGAAGACAUGCUCCCCAGGGCAGCACAUGAGUGGGAGAGAAGUGCUUCUCAGAUGGAGCUCCGUUUAAAAGAAGGACCUGUCCUUACAUGACUGGAGGUCUGCCCCACCACCCACAGCCCCAUGGCACCCUCAGGACAUCUCCCAAGUCUGCAACAGCCAAGAGUCACCACUGGCCAGUAUUUAUCCAAACCCUUCUGUGCUCCACAAGAAUAAAGGAAGGCCAGUCGGAGAGGAUGUGGAAGCACUGAUCAUCUAUGCUGAGGACACAGAGAGACGCCACCUUCCAGCGACCAGCACAAGAGAUGGCUUCAGACAGCAAGAGGGGUGGGCACGGGCCCAUCACCGGCAACCAGAGCAAUAAGCCUCUUUUUCUGCCACCCAAGGAACCCAACAUACAGCCUGUGACAAUAAACUAACCCUGGAGUCAGUCCCCUAGUAGCACCCCCCCUCCCACUCCCAGCUGCCUGUCACAAGAUGACCGUGUAGCUGAACAGCCCUCCAGCCUAUGAGGAUGUGGCUGGUUCCUUCCUCAACCAGCCUGACCCCCUGCAAGGGCUCUUGGCCUCGAAGGACUAUAGCCCCCUCCAUCCAUUUUCAGAACAACCCACCUUUCGUAUCAAGGCAUAGGGAGAUGGGAUCCCUCAGAACCAGCAAGGCCAGAAUGGAAGGACUCAAGCCCCCAGCACCAGGAGGUGGGUCAACCCGUAUCCCACAAACUGGGACCUCUUCCCAGACCUCAGACAAUACCAGGUCCCCAAGGGAGGAGGGAGGGGCAGAGGAAGUCUGCAGAAGGAGACCAAGAGGAGCUUUGAGAUCAGAAUUAAAUUCUUUAAUACAAAAUGCUUUUUUUAAGAUAUAGCUGUAUUUCUUUGUUGUUGUUUAAAAAUAAAUAUGUACUACGGAAUAUCCCGAAAAAACUGCACUAGAGACAAAAGACGUGAUGUUAAUAUCUUUUCCCCCCACAAUUAUUACGGAUAAACAGUAGCACCAAUAAAUAAAUGAUAACAAAUAUUAAAAUUAAAAAAGGAGAGAGAUUUAGUAUGUAGAAUUCUCUAUUUUUUCUUGUUUUGUUUUUUAUAUAUAAAAAACAGAAUAGCAAUGUCUAUUUUAUCAGAAUCACAUAUAUACAUAAACAUAUAUAUAUAUGUAUAUAUAUAUACACACAAACACAAGUUGCCAAA